AGCAGCCGCGGUAAUUCCAGCUCCAAUAGCGUAUAUUAAAGUUGUUGCAGUUAAAAAGCUCGUAGUUGAAUUUCGGGGUUAGUAGGCUGGUCGUGCCACAGGUAUGCACUGGUCUUACUGAUUCCUCCUUCCUGAUGAACCGUAAUGCCAUUAAUUUGGUGUUGCGGGGAGUCUGGACUGUUACUUUGAAAAAAUUAGUGUGUUUAAAGCAGGCUAACGCUUGAAUACAUUAGCAUGGAAUAACGAAAUAGGACGUUCGAUCCUAUUUUGUUGGUUUCUAGGAUUGACGUAAUGAUUAAUAGGGAUAGUUGGGGGCAUUAGUAUUCAAUUGUCAGAGGUGAAAUUCUUGGAUUUAUUGAAGACUAACUACUGCGAAAGCAUUUGCCAAGGAUGUUUUCAUUAAUCAAGAACGAAAGUUAGGGGAUCGAAGACGAUCAGAUACCGUCGUAGUCUUAACCAUAAACUAUGCCGACUAGGGAUCGGAUGAUGUUAAUUUUUUAAUGACUCAUUCGGCGCCUUACG
rnacentral:rRNA from 1 species